UCGAGGAUCUUCGGCAAUGGGCGCAAGCCUGACCGAGCGACGCCGCGUGUGCGAUGAAGGCCUUCGGGUUGUAAAGCACUGUCGAGGGGGAGGAAAGCCCGCAAGGGUCUGACCUAUCCCUGGAGGAAGCACGGGCUAAGUUCGUGCCAGCAGCCGCGGUAAGACGAACCGUGCGAACGUUGUUCGGAAUCACUGGGCUUAAAGGGCGCGUAGGCGGUCGAUCAAGUCCGGGGUGAAAUCUUUCGGCUUAACCGGAAAAGUGCCUUGGAUACUGAUCGGCUGGAGGGAGGUAGGGGCAGCUGGAACUUCCGGUGGAGCGGUGAAAUGCGUUGAUAUCGGAAGGAACGCCGGUGGCGAAAGCGAGCUGCUGGACCUCUUCUGACGCUGAUGCGCGAAAGCUAGGGGAGCAAACGGGAUUAGAUACCCCCGUAGUCC
rnacentral:rRNA from 1 species